rnacentral:rRNA from 1 species
GGCCUAACACAUGGCAAGUCCGAGCGAGGGGAGUUCUUCGGAACAAAACCUAGCGGCGGACGGGUGAGUAACACGUGGGCAACCUGCCUCAAAGAGGGGAAUAGCCUCCCGAAAGGGAGAUUAAUACCGCAUAAAGUUAUUUUUUCGCAUGAAGAGAUAACCAAAGGAGCAAUCCGCUUUGAGAUGGGCCCGCGGCGCAUUAGCUAGUUGGUGAGGUAACGGCUCACCAAGGCGACGAUGCGUAGCCGACCUGAGAGGGUGAUCGGCCACAUUGGAACUGAGACACGGUCCAGACUCCUACGGGAGGCAGCAGUGGGGAAUAUUGCGCAAUGGGGGAAACCCUGACGCAGCAACGCCGCGUGAGCGAUGAAGGUCUUCGGAUUGUAAAGCUCUGUCUUUUGGGACGAUAAUGACGGUACCAAAGGAGGAAGCCACGGCUAACUACGUGCCAGCAGCCGCGGUAAUACGUAGGUGGCAAGCGUUGUCCGGAUUUACUGGGCGUAAAGAGUAUGUAGGCGGACAUUUAAGUCAGAUGUGAAAUUCCCGGGCUUAACCUGGGAGCUGCAUUUGAUACUGGGUGUCUAGAGUGCAGGAGAGGAAAGUGGAAUUCCUAGUGUAGCGGUGAAAUGCGUAGAGAUUAGGAAGAACACCAGUGGCGAAGGCGACUUUUCUGGACUGUAACUGGCGCUGAGAUACGAAAGCGUGGGGAGCAAAACAGGAUUAGAUACCCUGGUAGUCCACGCCGUAACGAUGAAUACUAGGUGUCGGAGGGUACCACCUUUCGGUGCCGCAGCAAACGCAAUAAGUAAUUCCGCCUGGGGGAGUACGGGUCGC